rnacentral:rRNA from 1 species
UGGGGAAUAUUGCACAAUGGGGGAAAGACCCUGAUGCAGCGACGCCGCGUGAGCGAAGAAGUAUUUCGGUAUGUAAAGCUCUAUCAGCAGGGAAGAUAAUGACGGUACCUGACUAAGAAGCCCCGGCUAACUACGUGCCAGCAGCCGCGGUAAUACGUAGGGGGCGAAGCGUUAUCCGGAUUUACUGGGUGCAAAGGGAGCGUAGACGGCAAGGCAAGUCUGAUGUGAAAACCCAGGGCUUAACUCUGGGACUGCAUUGGAAACUGUCUGGCUCGAGUGCCGGAGAGGUAAGCGGAAUUCCUAGUGUAGCGGUGAAAUGCGUAGAUAUUAGGAGGAACACCAGUGGCGAAGGCGGCUUGCUGGACGAUGACUGACGCUGAGGCUCGAAAGCGUGGGGAGCAAACAGGAUUAGAUACC